rnacentral:rRNA from 1 species
UAGGGAAUAUUGCACAAUGGGGGAAACCCUGAUGCAGCGACGCCGCGUGAGUGAUGAAGGACUUCGGUUCGUAAAGCUCUGUCGCAGGGGAAAAUUAUGAUGGUACCCUGUAAGAAAGGAUCGGCUAACUUCGUGCCAGCAGCCGCGGUAAGACGAGGGAUCCAAGCGUUGUUCGGAAUCAUUGGGCGUAAAGCGGGUGUAGACGGCUUUGUAAGUCAGGUGUGAAAGCCCAGGGCUCAACCCUGGAAGUGCAUUUGAUACUGCGAAGCUUGAGUGUGGGAGAGGCUAGUGGAAUUCCUGGUGUAGUGGUGAAAUACGUAGAUAUCAGGAGGAACACCGGUGGCGAAGGCGGCUAGCUGGCCCAACACUGACGUUGAGACCCGAAAGCGUGGGGAUCAAA